GAUGAAGAACGUAGCGAAAUGCGAUAAGUAAUGCGAAUUGCAGAAUUCAGUGAAUCAUCGAAUCUUUGAACGCACAUUGCGCCCCCUGGUAUUCCGGGGGGCAUGCCUGUCCGAGCGUCAUUGCUGCCCUCAAGCACGGCUUGUGUGUUGGGCCCCCGCCCCCCGGCUUCGGGGGGCGGGCCCGAAAGGCAGCGGCGGCACCGCGUCCGGUCCUCGAGCGUAUGGGGCUUCGUCACCCGCUCUGUAGGCCCGGCCGGCGCCCGCCGGCGACCCCAAUCAAUCUUUCCAGGUUGACCUCGGAUCAGGUAGGGAUACCCGCUGAACUUAAGCAUAUCAAUAAGCGGAGGA
rnacentral:misc_RNA from 1 species